CCCUUAGAUGUCCGGGGCCGAACGCGCGCUACACUGAAGGAAUCAGCGUGGCUUUCUCCCUGACCCGAAAGGGUUGGGAAACCCGUUGAAUCUCCUUCGUGAUAGGGAUUGGGGCUUGAAAUUGUUCCCCAUGAACGAGGAAUUCCCAGUAAGCGCGAGUCAUAAGCUCGCGUUGAUUACGUCCCUGCCCUUUGUACACACCGCCCGUCGCUACUACCGAUUGAACGGUUUAGUGAGGGCCUCGGAUUGGUCUCGGCCCGCUCUUUACCGGGCGGCGCCGUUGGUCGAGAAGACGCUCGAACUUGAUCGUUUAGAGGAAGUAAAAGUCGUAACA
rnacentral:rRNA from 1 species